rnacentral:rRNA from 1 species
GUCGGAUUAGCUAGUUGGUGGGUAAAAGGCCUACCAAGGCGACGAUCUGUAGCGGGUCUGAGAGGAUGAUCCGCCACACUGGGACUGAGACACGGCCCAGACUCCUACGGGAGGCAGCAGUGGGGAAUAUUGGACAAUGGGCGCAAGCCUGAUCCAGCCAUGCCGCGUGUGUGAAGAAGGCCUUAUGGUUGUAAAGCACUUUAAGCGAGGAGGAGGCUACUUUAGAUAAUACCUAGAGAUAGUGGACGUUACUCGCAGAAUAAGCACCGGCUAACUCUGUGCCAGCAGCCGCGGUAAUACAGAGGGUGCAAGCGUUAAUCGGAUUUACUGGGCGUAAAGCGCGCGUAGGCGGCUAAUUAAGUCAAAUGUGAAAUCCCCGAGCUUAACUUGGGAAUUGCAUUCGAUACUGGUUAGCUAGAGUGUGGGAGAGGAUGGUAGAAUUCCAGGUGUAGCGGUGAAAUGCGUAGAGAUCUGGAGGAAUACCGAUGGCGAAGGCAGCCAUCUGGCCUAACACUGACGCUGAGGUGCGAAAGCAUGGGGAGCAAACAGGAUUAGAUACCCUGGUAGUCCAUGCCGUAAACGAUGUCUACUAGCCGUUGGGGCCUUUGAGGCUUUAGUGGCGCAGCUAACGCGAUAAGUAGACCGCCUGGGGAGUACGGUCGCAAGACUAAAACUCAAAUGAAUUGACGGGGGCCCGCACAAGCGGUGGAGCAUGUGGUUUAAUUCGAUGCAACGCGAAGAACCUUACCUGGCCUUGACAUAGUAAGAACUUUCCAGAGAUGGAUUGGUGCCUUCGGGAACUUACAUACAGGUGCUGCAUGGCUGUCGUCAGCUC